rnacentral:rRNA from 1 species
GCCUACGGGGGGCAGCAGUAGGGAAUCUUCCACAAUGGGCGAAAGCCUGGUGGAGCAACGCCGCGUGGGUGAAGAAGGUCUUCGGAUCGUAAAACCCUGUUGUUAGAGAAGAAAGUGCGUGAGAGUAACUGUUCACGUUUCGACGGUAUCUAACCAGAAAGCCACGGCUAACUACGUGCCAGCAGCCGCGGUAAUACGUAGGUGGCAAGCGUUAUCCGGAUUUAUUGGGCGUAAAGGGAACGCAGGCGGCCUUUUAAGUCUGAUGUGAAAGCCUUCGGCUUAACCGGAGUAGUGCAUUGGAAACU